rnacentral:rRNA from 1 species
UACGAAGGGGGCUAGCGUUGCUCGGAAUCACUGGGCGUAAAGCGCACGUAGGCGGCUUGUUAAGUCAGGGGUGAAAUUCUGGAGCUCAACUCCAGAACUGCCUUUGAUACUGGCGAGCUUGAGUUCGGGAGAGGUGAGUGGAACUGCGAGUGUAGAGGUGAAAUUCGUAGAUAUUCGCAAGAACACCAGUGGCGAAGGCGGCUCACUGGCCCGAUACUGACGCUGAGGUGCGAAAGCGUGGGGAGCAACAGG